rnacentral:rRNA from 1 species
GAUCAUGGCUCAGGAUGAACGCUAGCUACAGGCUUAACACAUGCAAGUCGAGGGGCAGCAUGUUGGUUGCUUACAACCAACGAUGGCGACCGGCGCACGGGUGAGUAACGCGUAUCCAACCUUCCGCAUACUCGGGAAUAGCCUUUCGAAAGAAAGAUUAAUGCCCGAUGGUUUCCCGAAUCCGCAUGAGAGCGGGAAUAAAGAUUCAUCGGUAUGCGAUGGGGAUGCGUCCCA